rnacentral:rRNA from 1 species
AUGGAGGAGGUGGAAGGGAUGCUCAGAGGGUUGAAGUUGACGGUGGCAGAGAAGAAGGGACUGAAGGUUGGGGAGGAGGAAAAGGGUAAGGGGUUUGAGUGGGCACCGGAUGAUCCGCAAGCUGUGGGGAAAUUAUUCUCGGAGAAGUUGGCCCAUGCAGGCGUGAUAGGGUAGACCAUGGGGAGGAUCUGGUGUCCGAUAAAAGGAUUGCAAUGCAGUGAGCUAGAAGAAAACGUCUUCCUCUUCACCUUUAGGCAAGCAUCUGGAUGGAGAAGGGCACUUGAAGAUGGUCCAUGGUGGUUUGAUAAGGAGUUGUUGGUAAUGGAAGAGUUUGAUCCGGACAAAACCGUGGAUGAGUAUGAUUUUAACAUCAUCCCGAUGUGGAUCCGGGUGUACGGAUUGCCACUAGGUUUGAUGAACAGAGCCAUGGGGAGAAAAUUGGUAAAGACUUUGCAGAAGUGGUGGAUGUGGAUGUGGGGCAUGAUGGCAAAGCGAUAG